rnacentral:other from 1 species
AUUUGCAUACAUGCAUGAAAUUAUGAGUCGUUUUGUCUCUGCGCCUCAUUGGUUUCAGGGAUGAAUCGUCUUUAUCUAUUUGUGCAAAUGAACAAUAACACAUUGUGCUUACGAAGCACCACCAGGAGGAAUUAGAAUGCAAGAAGGUACAGUAAAAUGGUUUAACUCGGACAAGGGCUUUGGCUUCAUCUCGAUCGAAAACGGCAAUGACGUAUUCGUUCACUUCAGCUCCAUCCAAGGCAAUGGCUUCAAGACCUUGGAAGAAGGACAACGUGUAACGUUUGACAUCGUGCAAGGACCGAAAGGCCCGCAAGCUGCGAACGUAACUGUUCAAUCCUAUUAAUUCCGAAUUUCCAAAAGUCCCGCUCAUUUGAGUGGGACUUUUUU